rnacentral:rRNA from 1 species
CAUGUAUACCAUCAUCGUCAGUCUACCUCUCAAGAGAAGUACACCCAACGAGCCCCAAUACCCCUCCCCACGUCAGAUCGAGGUGCAGUUAAUAAGCUGGGGGUAGGUGAGCUACAAUAUUUACCACAAACACAACUAAAACCAAUUGUGGACGAUAUCAUGAAACCAGCAUCCAAAAUAGGAUUCAGCAGUAAUGCCCAAAAGAAAAUGGACAUGAACACCCAGCUCUAAAAUGCGC